UGCGUAGGCGGCCCGGCAAGUUGGGUGUGAAAUCCCUCGGCUCAACCGAGGAAUGGCGCCCAAAACUGUCGGGCUAGAGGGAGACAGAGGCGAGCGGAACUUGCGGUGGAGCGGUGAUAUGCGUUGAUAUCGCAAGGAACACCAGUAGCGAAGGCGGCUCGCUGGGUCUCUUCUGACGCUCAGGCACGAAAGCCAGGGGAGCGAACG
rnacentral:rRNA from 1 species